AUUGAACGCUGGCGGAAUGCUUUACACAUGCAAGUCGAACGGCAGCACGGACUUCGGUCUGGUGGAGAGUGGCGAACGGGUGAGUAAUGUAUCGGAACGUGCCCAGUCGUGGGGGAUAACGUAGGGAAAGGUACGCUAAUACUGCAUACGACCUAAGGAGGAAGGCGGGGGAUCGCAAGACCUCGCGCGAUUGGAGCGGCCGAGACCAGAUUAGGUAGUUGGUGGGGUAAAGGCCCACCAAGCCAACGAUCGGUAGCUGGUCUGAGAGGACGACCAGCCACACUGGAACUGAGACACGGUCCAGACUCCUACGGGAGGCAGCAGUGGGGAAUUUUGGACAAUGGGCGAAAGCCUGAUCCAGCCAUUCCGCGUGCAGGAUGAAGGCCCUCGGGUUGUAAACUGCUUUUGUACAGAACGAAAAGGUUUCUACUAAUACUAGGAGCUCAUGACGGUACUGUAAGAAUAAGCACCGGCUAACUACGUGCCAGCAGCCGCCGUAA
rnacentral:rRNA from 1 species